rnacentral:tRNA from 1 species
GCCUUCGUAGUGUACCGGUCAGCACGCUCGACGCAUAACCGAGAGGUCCGUGGUUCGAUUCCCGGCGAGAGCA